rnacentral:rRNA from 1 species
AAGUCGAGCGAACAGACGAGGAGCUUGCUCCUCUGACGUUAGCGGCGGACGGGUGAGUAACACGUGGAUAACCUACCUAUAAGACUGGGAUAACUUCGGGAAACCGGAGCUAAUACCGGAUAAUAUAUUGAACCGCAUGGUUCAAUAGUGAAAGACGGUUUUGCUGUCACUUAUAGAUGGAUCCGCGCCGCAUUAGCUUGUUGGUAAGGUAACGGCUUACCAAGGCAACGAUGCGUAGCCGACCUGAGAGGGUGAUCGGCCACACUGGAACUGAGACACGGUCCAGACUCCUACGGGAGGCAGCGGUAGGGAAUCUUCCGCAAUGGGCGAAAGCCUGACGGAGCAACGCCGCGUGAGUGAUGAAGGUCUUCGGAUCGUAAAACUCUGUUAUUAGGGAAGAACAAAUGUGUAAGUAACUAUGCACGUCUUGACGGUACCUAAUCAGAAAGCCACGGCUAACUACGUGCCAGCAGCCGCGGUAAUACGUAGGUGGCAAGCGUUAUCCGGAAUUAUUGGGCGUAAAGCGCGCGUAGGCGGUUUUUUAAGUCUGAUGUGAAAGCCCACGGCUCAACCGUGGAGGGUCAUUGGAAACUGGAAAACUUGAGUGCAGAAGAGGAAAGUGGAAUUCCAUGUGUAGCGGUGAAAUGCGCAGAGAUAUGGAGGAACACCAGUGGCGAAGGCGACUUUCUGGUCUGUAACUGACGCUGAUGUGCGAA